UGCCCCGGUGUCCAGUCGGAACCACACUGGAAGAGCCCCGCCCUGUGGCAGAAGGAGUGUACCCACGUUCGUGUGCGUACACAGCAUUGAGCAGUUGUCUAUGAGACACAGAGAGAAGGAAGAAAAGAAAAGCAGAUGGUCAUGAGAACAAAAAAUGGAAGAUGGGAGACACUGAAUAACCCUGAGAAAAUGGAAGUUAGUUACAGAUGGAGGCUUCUGCAGGAAGGAGACAACUCGGUGCACCUUUAAUCCUCCUACAGCGGUGUCUAACCCACAGUGAUGGAGGACCAUGUAUAGGCUCCUGGAUCAGCAGUCUCAGUGCAUCCAGCCUUCCAGCCACUUCCACCUAGGUGCCAGAUGUGCAAGUGAAGCUGACUUUGAUGCUCCAGACCAGCCUAUUUGCCAGCUGAGUACCACUGAGUGAUUUCUGUCAUGCCACGAGGAGCAGAAGAAUCACCCAGCUGAGCCCUGCCUGAAUUCCCAAUCUGUGAAGCAAAAAAAAAAAAAAGAAUAGCCCUAGCUGGUAUGGGUCAGUGGAUUGAGCACUGGCCUAUGAACCAAAGGGUCACUGGUUUGAUUCCCAGUCUAGGGCACAUGCCUGGGUUGUAGGCCAGGUCCCCAGUAGGGGGUGUGAGUGGG